rnacentral:rRNA from 1 species
GACGAACGCUGGCGGCGUGCUUAACACAUGCAAGUCGAACGGUGAAGCUCCAGCUUGCUGGAGUGGAUCAGUGGCGAACGGGUGAGUAACACGUGAGCAACCUGCCCCUGACUCUGGAAUAAGCGCUGGAAACGGCGUCUAAUACUGGAUACGAGAAGGGUCCGCAUGGGCACUUUCUGGAAAGUUUUUCGGUUGGGGAUGGGCUCGCGGCCUAUCAGCUUGUUGGUGAGGUAAUGGCUCACCAAGGCGACGACGGGUAGCCGGCCUGAGAGGGCGACCGGCCACACUGGGACUGAGACACGGCCCAGACUCCUACGGGAGGCAGCAGUGGGGAAUAUUGCACAAUGGGGGAAAGCCUGAUGCAGCGACGCCGCGUGAGGGAUGACGGCCUUCGGGUUGUAAACCUCUUUCAGCAGGGAAGAAGCGAAAGUGACGGUACCUGCAGAAGAAGCACCGGCUAACUACGUG